GUAGGUGGCAAGCGUUGUCCGGAAUUAUUGGGCGUAAAGCGCGCGCAGGUGGUUCUUUAAGUCUGAUGUGAAAGCCCCCGGGCUCAACCGGGGAGGGUCAUUGGAAACUGAGGAACUUGAGUGCAGGAGAGGAAAGUGGAAUUCCACGUGUAGCGGUGAAAUGCGUAGAUAUGUGGAGGAACACCAGUGGCGAAGGCGACUUUCUGGCCUGUAACUGACACUGAGGCGCGAAAGCGUGGGGAGCAAACAGGAUUAGAUACCCUGGUAGUCCACGCCGUAAACGAUGAGUGCUAAGUGUUGGGGGGUUUCCGCCCCUCAGUGCUGCAGCUAACGCAUUAAGCACUCCGCCUGGGGAGUACGGUCGCAAGACUG
rnacentral:rRNA from 1 species